rnacentral:snRNA from 1 species
GGACAUGUGAUGAGUACCUGUCUGUGACAUCUGUCACCCUCUUGAUUGCCAGGGUCAAUUAGGAUGAUCUGGCUACCUAGGCAGGUGGCCCCUUCCUCCCUCACUACUCCAUGUGUGUCCCUCCCAAAACUGUGCACUCAGAGAAUGACCUUCCCCAAUAGAACAGGACUGUUCUUUGGUCAAGGCUAUAUGAGUAGCUCAUUUCCCCCACUUGAACCUCCAAACAAAAACUGUGGGUUUUGUGUAACACCUCACAAGACGGCUUUGAGGAUUUAAUGAAAUAUAGAAUGUGAAAACUGUACUUUGUAACCAUACAAACAUAAUGUUUGUUACUCUUA